UACGUAGGGGGCGAGCGUUGUCCGGAUUUAUUGGGCGUAAAGAGCGUGUAGGCGGCUUGGUAGGUCUCGCGUCAAAACCUGAGGCUCAACCUCAGUUCGCGUGGGAAACCACCUAGCUAGAGUCCGGAAGAGGAGAACGGAAUUCCCAGUGUAGCGGUGAAAUGCGCAGAUAUUGGGAAGAACACCAGUGGCGAAGGCGGUUCUCUGGGACGGUACUGACGCUGAGGUGCGAAAGCGUGGGGAGCAAACAGG
rnacentral:rRNA from 1 species